CACGUAGGGCGCAAGCGUUGUCCGGAAUUAUUGGGCGUAAAGAGCUCGUAGGCGGUCUGUUGCGUCUGCUGUGAAAACCCGGGGCUUAACCCCUGGCUUGCAGUGGAUACGGACAGACUAGAGGUAGGUAGGGGAGAAUGGAAUUCCCGGUGUAGCGGUGAAAUGCGCAGAUAUCGGGAGGAACACCGGUGGCGAAGGCGGUUCUCUGGGCCUUACCUGACGCUGAGGCGCGAAAGCUAGGGGAGCAAACAGG
rnacentral:rRNA from 1 species